GUAUCACCUGGCUGCCUCUUCCUCUUUGGAGGAGCUGUGGGUUCUACCCAAUGAUUAUAAACCUUUAUGGCCACCUCUGACUUAUAAAGUUCAAGUUCAAACGUCAUUGGUCCUUGGGAACGCUUGGUAAAGUCUGCUCAGUUGCCAUAGAUACUUGGAGCAUAUCACAUCUUUCUGGGAACUCUUGUUACCUUGGAAAACAGGGAGGACAAGGGCUACAUACCCUGAUUUCACAUAUGGAAGGAAAAGAAGAAUCGUAGAUUCCCUGACAGAAUGCCAGAGAGACGGAAAACAAAAACAUCUAUGGCAGCUAGUAAGACUUUUUAAAUUUUUAUUUUUUAGAAGAAGGGAGAGUUGCUAGGGAGGAAUGGAUGUAGAUAACUACUAUGAUGAUACUAAAAAGAAAAAGUCAAGAAAGAUCAGAGCAUCAAUGAUUUAUUAAAAAACAACCAAAAGUUCAAGUCUGACUUUAGAUACUGCCUAGCUGUGUGACCCUGGGCAAGUCACUUAACCUAUUGCCUAGCCCUUGCUGCUCUUUAGCUUUAGAACCAAUACACAGUAUUGUUUCCAAGACAGAAGUUAAGGCUUAGAAAAACCCCCAAAACACCAGAAAUGAGAAGAAGCAAGUUCAGAAAGGGGCACAAAAAUAAACAAGGAGAGAGUUAGGACUACUAUGUUAAU
rnacentral:lncRNA from 1 species